UAAGCAUAUCAAUAAGCGGAGGAAAAGAAACCAACAGGGAUUGCCCUAGUAACGGCGAGUGAAGCGGCAACAGCUCAAAUUUGAAAUCUGGCCCCCGGGUCCGAGUUGUAAUUUGUAGAGGAUGCUUUUGGUGCGGUACCUUCCGAGUUCCCUGGAACGGGACGCCAUAGAGGGUGAGAGCCCCGUCUGGUUGGACGCCAAUCCUUUGUAAAGCUCCUUCAACGAGUCGAGUAGUUUGGGAAUGCUGCUCUAAAUGGGAGGUAUAUGUCUUCUAAAGCUAAAUAUUGGCCAGAGACCGAUAGCGCACAAGUAGAGUGAUCGAAAGAUGAAAAGCACUUUGAAAAGAGAGUUAAAAAGUACGUGAAAUUGUUGAAAGGGAAGCGCUCAUGACCAGACUUGGGCUUGGUUGAUCAUCCAGGGUUCUCCCUGGUGCACUCUUCCGGCCCAGGCCAGCAUCAGUUCGCUGUGGGGGAUAAAGGCUUCGGGAAUGUGGCUCCCUCGGGAGUGUUAUAGCCCGUUGUGUAAUACCCUGUGGUGGACUGAGGUUCGCGCAUUCGCAAGGAUGCUGGCGUAAUGGUCAUCAGCGACCCGUCUUGAAACACGGACCAAGGAGUCGUCUUCGUAUGCGAGUGUUCGGGUGUCAAACCCCUACGCGUAAUGAAAGUGAACGCAGGUGAGAGCUUCGGCGCAUCAUCGACCGAUCCUGAUGUUCUCGGAUGGAUUUGAGUAAGAGCAUACGGGGCCGGACCCGAAAGAAGGUGAACUAUGCCUGUAUAGGGUGAAGCCAGAGGAAACUCUGGUGGAGGCUCGCAGCGGUUCUGACGUGCAAAUCGAUCGUCAAAUAUGGGCAUGGGGGGCGAAAGACUAAUCGAACCUUCUAGUAGCUGGUUUCCGCCGAA
rnacentral:rRNA from 1 species